rnacentral:lncRNA from 1 species
GUGAGUCUCCUGCAUCAGCCUACCAAGUAGCUGGGAUUACAGCCACGGAAGCCCUAGUCUGGCAGGAAAGAAGAGUCAUUAGGCAUCAUCUGGCAACUUGGCUUGGAGAAGUCAGAUCAGUCACCAAGAGUCUGGUGGGGCUGCAGCAAUGGCUAGAAAGAACCAGUGACAUGAUUGCCAGUAGAGACGGGGUUUCACCUUGUUAGCCAGGAUGGUCUCGAUCUCCUGACCUCAUGAUCCACCCGCCUCGGCCUCCCAAAGUGCUGGGAUUACAGGCGUGAGCCACCGCGCCCGGCCUCAACUAUCUAUUCUUAACUACCAACUUCAAGAUCUGCAAAACGGUUCAGUAAAAAUGAGUAAGGUUAUGAAAACAGUCAUAAACAGGGUAGGGCCAGGAAAGGUAGUAAUUAUACUCCUGAAGCUUUAGAUUAUAGCUAAUUAUGGUAGAAAUACAAAAUCAAAGCUUUAAUGCCAGAGUUCAAACACAAUUGCCUAAUUAAAACUGAGUUAUGUAUUGACUGAUCGUGAUAAGAUACGGCAAAAAAAAAAUGCAUUUAGGAAGGCCUUCACAAUUGUAUGUGAAGAGUGGAUAAUUUUGGCACUUCUAUAAACUGCUGGUGGGUGUGCACCUUAGAGAAGCCUUGAUUGAGGAAUUACAUGUUUGGGAAUCUACCAUUCAGAAUUCAGAAUUACUUGAACGUGAGUGUGAGAAUAAUGUAUAUGAGAAUAUUUAUUUCAAUCCUGUUUUUCCCAUGGAAGGUUGGAUUCAAAUUGAAAAUCCAUUAAAAGGAACUUGAUUGAAAAAAAUUAAGGUUCAUGAGACACUAUGCAGCCUUUAAAUAAAAUGAAGGAAAAGGGGAUGCAACUGCACUAAUCAUAUAGUAUAAUCUCACUGUUGGAAAAAACAACAACACGUACACAUAUAUAUCAAUGUCAAUAUACACAUAAUAAUGUCUGGAAGAAUAUGUUCCAAGUAAAUAGUAGAGCUCAGUAUUGGGGACGACAAUGAGUGGCACAGAAGAUUGACAUGUUAGCUUAUACGCCUACAUAAUUCUGUUAAAUUUUAAAAAUAGUAGUUAUGUAUUACUUUCACAAUUAAAAUUACAAACACAUUUUUUUCAAAAUAAAUAUUUUAAAUUCUAGGUCCUUAACUUAGUAACUGACAAAUUAAGUAAAAGCCUCAGAAUUAAAGUUUUACAUACCUGCAACUUCUAAUUGGCUUCUAGGAAAGAACAUAUGAAAUCUACUUUUCAUGCCAAUCAAGUUCUGCCCCUCCCACGCACAAGGGGGAAUUUGUGCUGGGUGUGAAUUGACAUAUUUCACUUGCUAACACUGAAGCAUUUGGCUUUGAUUAGAAUCCAACUUAAAUAUUUACUUUAUAUUCACAAAAUAAUGAGAAAUGAAAUGACACUCUGGAGAUUAAAAUGCAUAUUCUUGAACAGAGAGGGGGAGGAUUAUAACACAUGACUGAAUACAAUCACUGGAUUUAAAAAACACAGAACAAUUCCUGUUGAAUUAAAGCCCCACAUACCAGUUCCCUAACUAAAGCUAUAGGGGGAAAAUCAUAGCCAAAGCUUUUUCCAUAAAUACAGGAUAGGGACCUAACUAGUUCCAUUAUAGAAAAAAGGCAUAUUUUUAAAAUAUUUUUUUCAGUAGAGGAGUAAGUGGAGAUAUGCUAUCAUACUUUAGAACUUGAAGUACUUUCAAGGAAAAACAGAGGAUAACACAAUAUUCCUUAAUGACAAUAGGCAGGCAACAUAGCAAAUAAAGAAGAACCACUUAGUGUUUUUAUCUUAAAAGCCCUUAUAACAGUUUGCUUUGUCAUCAGCUGUGGCCUACCCAGGCAAAGUUAAGUGAAAAACAAAAAAUAGAUAUAAAUGAAUGAUUUGUGGAAAUAAUUACUUUGGCCUGACAUAGCUAGACAUUUUAGGGAAAUGGGUCUGCUACCUUAAUGAAAUUAUCAAGAUAAUCUUGUGUUCUCCAUUUUAUCUUUUCACUUCACUGACCAG